rnacentral:rRNA from 1 species
AGCGAACGCUGGCGGCAGGCCUAACACAUGCAAGUCGAACGAAGUCUUCGGACUUAGUGGCGGACGGGUGAGUAACACGUGGGAACGUGCCUUUAGGUUCGGAAUAACUCAGGGAAACUUGUGCUAAUACAGAAUGUGCCCUUCGGGGGAAAGAUUUAUCGCCUUUAGAGCGGCCCGCGUCUGAUUAGCUAGUUGGUGAGGUAAAGGCUCACCAAGGCGACGAUCAGUAGCUGGUCUGAGAGGGUGAUCAGCCACAUUGGGACUGAGACACGGCCCAAACUCCUACGGGAGGCAGCAGUGGGGAAUCUUGCGCAAUGGGCGAAAGCCUGACGCAGCCAUGCCGCGUGAAUGAUGAAGGUCUUAGGAUUGUAAAAUUCUUUCACCGGGGACGAUAAUGACGGUACCCGGAGAAGAAGCCCCGGCUAACUUCGUGCCAGCCGCCGCCGUAA